rnacentral:lncRNA from 1 species
CCAGUAUCCUUGUCACCACACAAGUUUCCAGCGAACAAACUGAAUUCUGGCAGUUGCCUAAAUAGGCUUCUAAAUAUCCUUAGCCUGAUUUCAUGGAUAACUGAAACAAAUUUACUGAAGCUUAAUCUUAAGAGUUUCAAAACAGUAAAAAAGACGAUAUAGUUGAUGACAAAAACCUGAGUUAUCCAUAGCGACAGGUUCGGGUUCAGGCUGAUGAAAAGAACCGCAGCUUCUGACAUGAGGACUUUCUUGGCAAUAGCAUGGGCAGCCAUCAAAACCCCAAAUUUCCCAAUAAUGCAAUCAUACUUACGGCUGUCACUUGAUAGCACCUAAAUGCACCAAAAGAAAAAAAAAAGCUAACAAUGUCCAACCAUGAAAGUUAUUCAAACUUUUGGAAGAAUUUGGAGAAAGGAAAUGGUUUCAUCGUCUGAAUGAAGAAUACUUUUCUUUGUGUUCUGUUUCUGUUUUAUCUUGUAACAGAUGGAAAUAAAAUUUCCUAAUUUAGAUAAAUCAGUCAAAACGUGUACUUUUUAGAAUUACCUGAGUUUAAGCUUUCACUAAAAACCUUCUCUUUUCCACAGUCCUGCUCUGCCUGCUUCACGUGUACCUUUAGCACCAAUGAAAUUAAAAAUUUAUCAAUCAACUGGUAAAAAGACGAAUUAUGGAGACUUGUGAAUCAGACGCUGGUCUAAAGAAAAUAAGGCUGAAGAAACUGCCAAUAAUUUACCUCCUUUUGCACCAUUCUCACUCCUCAGCACUUGUCCUUCAUUUGUCAAAAAUGACUCCGUUCAGGAGUCUCAAUGAAAGUUGCCUAACAUUCAAUGACAGACAGAAAACAUAAAUUACCAUCAUUACACUCAUAUCAAAAUUUUAGAAACUGUCACAUAUAUUCCAGAUACAGAAAAUGAUUCAAGAUACUUUAUGCUUCUUGAUUAGAUAACAAAUAAAAACAAAGCAGGAGAAUAAAUUGCCUGAGGCUGA